rnacentral:rRNA from 1 species
GCUGGCGGCGUGCCUAACACAUGCAAGUCGAACGGGGCGCGGCGGCUGAGGCUUUUCGGAGCGGAAGCCGGCGCUGCCCAGUGGCGGACGGGUGAGUAACGCGUGGGCAACCUGCCCUGCACUGGGGGACAACAGCCGGAAACGGCUGCUAAUACCGCAUAUGCCCGCAGCCCCGCAUGGGGCGGCGGGGGAAGCUCCGGCGGUGCAGGAUGGGCCCGCGUCUGAUUAUCUGGUUGGCGGGGCAACGGCCCACCAAGGCGACGAUCAGUAGCCGGCCUGAGAGGGUGGGCGGCCACAUUGGGACUGAGACACGGCCCCGACUCCUACGGGAGGCAGCAGUGGGGGAUAUUGCACAAUGGGGGGAACCCUGAUGCAGCGACGCCGCGUGGGCGAUGGAGUGCUUCCGCAUGUAAAGCCCUAUGCAGCUGGGAAGAAAAUGACGGUACCUGACUAAUAAGCCCCGGUUAAUUACUUGCCACCAACCGCGGUAAUACUUAAGGGGCAAGCGUUAUCCGGAUUUAUUGGCUGUAAAGGGAGCGUAGGCGGCCUGGCAAGCCCUGAUGUGAAAUACCGGGGCCCAACCCCGGGGCUGCAUUGGGAACUGCCAGGCUGGAGUGCCGGAGAGGCAGGCGGAAUUCCUAGUGUAGCGGUGAAAUGCGUAGAUAUUAGGAGGAACACCAGUGGCGAAGGCGGCCUGCUGGACGGUGACUGACGCUGAGGCUCGAAAGCGUGGGGAGCAAACAAAAUUAGAUACCCUGGUAGUCCACGCCGU